AAUGAACGCUGGCGGCGUGCUUAACACAUGCAAGUCGAGCGAGAAAGCUCUUUCGGGAGUGAGUACAGCGGCAGACGGGUGAGUAACGCGUGAGAAUCUGCCCUUUAGUGAAGAAUACUUUCGAGAAAUCGGAAUUAAUACUGCAUACGUUCCUUGUGUAUAACUUGGAAGAAAGAUGGCCUCUUUGCUGUCGCUAAAGGAUGAGCUUGCGUACUAUUAGCUAGUUGGUGAGGUAAAGGCUCACCAAGGCGAAGAUGGUUAACCGGCCUGAGAGGGUGUACGGUCACACUGGAACUUAGACACGGUCCAGACUCCUACGGGAGGCAGCAGUGAGGAAUAUUGCGCAAUGGACGAAAGUCUGACGCAGCGACGCCGCGUGGAGGAUGAAGGUUUUAGGAUUGUAAACUCCUGUUAAGUGGGAAGAAAUUCUUGUUUCUAAUACAAACGAGAGAUGACGGUACCAUUAGAGAAAGCACCGGCUAACUUCGUGCCAGCAGCCGCAGUAAGAC
rnacentral:rRNA from 1 species